rnacentral:rRNA from 1 species
CCUACGGGGGGCAGCAGUGAGGAAUAUUGGUCAAUGGCCGUAAGGCUGAACCAGCCAAGUCGCGUGAAGGAAGAAGGAUCUAUGGUUUGUAAACUUCUUUUAUAGGGGAAUAAAGGUAUCCACGUGUGGAUAUUUGCAUGUACCCUAUGAAUAAGCAUCGGCUAACUCCGUGCCAGCAGCCGCGGUAAUACGGAGGAUGCGAGCGUUAUCCGGAUUUAUUGGGUUUAAAGGGUGCGUAGGUUGUUUUUUAAGUCAGCGGUGAAAGUUUGUGGCUCAACCUCUUCGAGCCGUUGAAACUGGUUUUCUUGAGUGAGCGAGAAGUAUGCGGAAUGCGUGGUGUAGCGGUGAAAUGCAUAGAUAUCACGCAGAACUCCGAUUGCGAAGGCAGCAUACCGGCGCUCAACUGACGCUCAUGCACGAAAGUGUGGGUAUCGAACAGGAUUAGAUACCCUUGUAGUC